rnacentral:lncRNA from 1 species
UGUUAAUGGUAUCUCUUAUGAGCUACAGUAUCUCCUGUGUUUGCUUGUGAAAUUCAUCUUGUACUUUUGUGCCGAAGCCGAGUUCUGUACCCUCAGUGAAUGUAAACGAGCAGCUUUGUUGGCAAACCUCUUACCUUGAAUGGCUAAAGGAGAAAAGGAGAUGCUGGAAUAGAGAAGUAAGGAGGUCUGCCAGCAUGGAUGGGAUGCGUUCCAGGUCUUUGGAUUGCAGUUCAAGGUGUGUGUGUCAGGUCACCUUUUGCAGCACCUCUACUCUUUCAGACCGUGCACUUUGGGCUGGUGUGCAACCUUGUCUGAGGCCAAAGCUCCACGUGGACAGACCCUCCUUGUGUCCUGGGCGCUGUUAGUGCUACCUGUGAACAGUUUCACACUACUGAAAGGCCUGAAACUAAGAGGCAUUUGUCCUUGAAACCAGUCAUGAAUGGAAGGUGAUGUUGAGAAGUCGUUAUCCAUCACUCUGGAAGAGUUGGUGAUGGGCAGACUGCCUGGCUUCUGGCAUGGCAUUUGGGUACAGGGGAUGGAAAAACAGAAGCUUAUCCAGAAAUCCUGAAAUACAUGGUCUGAUUUUUCCAGAACUGGAACAAGAGAAGCACCUCACCAAAAGAGAGCAAAUGCUGUCAUUUGACCUUUUCAGCCUUUGGAUUCUCAGUGCAUCUGACUCGACCAGGCAGGUCUGGGGAAGAGAAAAAUUAACAGCAGAUGGAUUUAUGAAAAGAGCUCAGUGGCAGAUGGUGCCUACAGAUAUUUACUGACAUGGCCUCGGUCUUACAGGGGGCCUGUGUUGGAGGACAUGUUGCUGUGACAGUGGUGUCUGUAGAUGAUAUGUUGAAGGAGUGCAGAGUCAUGGUCUUACUACUGAAGUAGUAAAAUCCACUGAAGUCAUCCCAUUCCCUUCUCCUUCAGUAGUAGACACCUCCUCAUGUCAUGGAACAGAGCCACGAUACUUGGUAGUUGACUACUUGAUGUUUAUUAAAACUUCCUUCUCCCAAGACAGUGAUUUUUUUUUCCUAUGUAAUUUUAGAAGAAUGCUUGAAAAAGGUGACUUAGAUGAACCCUACAGGCUCAUUAAACAGUGGCAACUGAUAAAUCUUUUCUUUGAUAGUCUCUUGAAUUUUUAAGUCUUGGAGUUGGUAAUGCCCAUACUAUAGAUGUACGGAAAUGAAUAUUUCAGAAGUGGGCCAUACCUUUUAAGUGGGGUGAUUUGAAUAAAUGAUUUCACUUUUCUUCUGCCUUUUAAUUA